rnacentral:rRNA from 1 species
UGGGGAAUAUUGCACAAUGGGGGAAACCCUGAUUCAGCGACGCCGCGUGAACGAAGAAGGUAUUCGUAUCGUAAAGUUCUGUCCUAUGGGAAGAUAAUGACAGUACCAUAGAAGAAAGCUCCGGCUAAAUACGUGCCAGCAGCCGCGGUAAUACGUAUGGAGCGAGCGUUGUCCGGAAUUAUUGGGCGUAAAGGGUACGCAGGCGGUUUAAUAAGUCGAAUGUUAAAGAUCGGGGCUCAACCCCGCAAAGCAUUGGAAACUGAUAAACUUGAGUAGUGGAGAGGAAAGUGGAAUUCCUAGUGUAGUGGUGAAAUACGUAGAUAUUAGGAGGAAUACCAGUAGCGAAGGCGACUUUCUGGACACAAACUGACGCUGAGGUACGAAAGCGUGGGGAGCAAACAGG